rnacentral:piRNA from 1 species
UGAACAAAUGAAAAUUUGACC